rnacentral:lncRNA from 1 species
GAUUUUAAUUUUUUCCAUUACAGUUGGUUUACAGUGUUCUGUCAAUUUCUGCUGUACAGCAAAGUGACCAGUCACACAUGCUUUUUCUCACAUUAUCCUCCUUUAUGUUCCAUCAUAAGUGACUAGAUAUAGUUCCCUGUGCUAUACAGCAGGAUCUCAUUGCUUACCCACUCCAAAUGCAAGAGUUUGCAUCUAUUAACCCCAGACUCCUAGUCCAUCCCACUCCCUCCUCCUCCCCCUUGGCAACCACAGGUCUGUUCUCCAAGUCCACAAUUUUCUUUUCUGUGGAAAGGUUCAUUUGUGCUAUGUAUUAGAUUAAGUGUGGUAGUGUAAUAGCAUUCCAGGGCACUGAGGGAUGUGCAGAAGGCCCUGCCAUGUGCUUCCUGACUAAAAGGGCACACCCAAAGUAGGAGGGGCUUUACGUCUCACAGGAGCAGUUAGAUAACUCUUACAAAGCAACACUGGCCAUGGCAUUGACUCUCAGAGCCAUGGCAGGGUUGCUGCAUUUGCAGCAGCCCUGGACUAUGGAAUUUUAAAGAAUGAGGACAAUUUUGUGGAAGAGAUGGGACCCUCUUUGUAAGAAACCCAUCAAUAGAGUGAUGCUCUGUAAGAAUGAGGUGUUUUUUGUUGAUCAUUACCACAUUUUAACUUCUGUGUUUAAAAAUCUGGUGUCUUGCUAUAUCAAAUAUUUCUCAUUGCUCAGUGAAGUAACACAGUUAUCAGUCAGGUAAACAUAUCAAAGCCGCUAAUGUCCCUUGUAAAAAUUUACCACAGUGAUUUUAAUUUUGAAGGUGUCUCCUGAACUGCUCAUUAGAACUACAUAAUUGCUAAUAAUUCUGAUGACUGACAAAAUAAAUACAUAAAACAAAAAAGAAGAUAAAACUUUAUUUGAAAAAUAGCAUAUAUGAAUGUUCACUUUUGAACCAGAUUUUUUUAAUGGUUUUUAUUUUUUUCCAUUAUAGCUGGUUUAUAGUGUUCUGUCAAUUUUCUACUGUACAGCAAGGUAAUCCAGUCACACAUACAUAUAUACAUUCUUUUUUCUCACAUUAUCAUACUCCAUCAUAAGUGACUAGAUAUAAUUCCUAGUGCUAUACAGCAGGAUCUCAUUGCUUAACCAUUCCAAAGGCAAUAGUUUGCAUCUAUUAACCCCAAAUUCCCAGUCCAUCCCACUCUCUUCCCCUCCAUCUGGACAACCAUGAGUCUGUUCUCCAUGUCCAUGAUUUUCUGUUCUGUGGAAAGGUUCAUUUGUGCCAUAUAUUAGAUUCCAGAUAUAAGUGAUAUCACAUGGUAUUUGUCUUUCUCUUUCUGGCUCACUUCACUUAAUAUGGGAGUCUCUAGUUCGAUCCAUGUUGCUGCAAAUGGCAUUACUUUGUUUUUUGUGACUGAGUGGUAUUCCAUUGUGUAUAGUUACCACAUCUCCUAAAUCCAUUCAUCUGUCAAUGGACAUUUAGGUUGUUUCCAUGUCUUGGCUAUUGUAUAUAGUGCUGCAAUGAACAUACAUGUGCAUGUGUCUUUUUCAAGGUACACUUUGUCUGGAUAUAUGCCCAAGAGUGGGAUUGCUGGGUCAUAUGGUAGUUCUAUAUUUAGUUUUCUAAGGUACCUCCAUACUGUUUUCCAUAGUGGUUCUACCAAUUUACAUUCCCACUAACAGUGUAGAAGGGUUCCCUUUUCUUCAUACCCUCUCCAGCAUUUGCUAUUUGUGGACUUAUUAAUGCAGACCAUUCUAACUGGUUUGAAGUGGUCCAUCAUAGUAGUUUUGAUUUGCAUUUCUCUAAUAAUCAGUGAUGUUGAACAUUUUUCCAUGUGCUUGUUGGCCAUCUGUAUUUCUUCUUUCAGGUCUUUUGCCCAUUUUUCAAUUGGGUUGUUGGCUUUUUUGCUGUUGAAUUGUAUAGUUGUUUGUAUAUUUUAGAGAUUAAGCCCUUGUUAGUUGCCUCUUUUUAAAUUACUUUCUCCCAUUCUGUAAGUUGUCUUUUUGUUUUCUUUUUGGUUUCCUUUGCUGUGCAAAAGCUUGUUGGUUUUAUUCGGUCCCAUUUAUUAUACAAGAUUUGCCUGGGUGAGUUUUUAAUCUGCCAUAAAACCUAAUUUCACCUUAUAUUCGAAAUAUAAUUCACAAUUUUAAAAAGAUUUUUAAAGUAAACAAUGAUUCUCAAAAUAAUCCUGAUCAUAUGGAUAAAUAAUAAGUCCCAUUUUAGAAACAUAGAAAUGAAGGCUCUGAGAGAUGAGAUAGUUUUUCCAGGCCAAACUGCUCUUUAAAUAAUAGAACUAGGUUUAGACAUUUGGAUAUCAGUACUCUUUUCUGUUGAAAAUAUUGCCUCUUACGUUGGAAGGUAUAUCUGGCUUGCCUACCAUACCCUUCAUUUAAAAUUAUACUUAAAAUUAAGUCAUUAAAAAUAAUUGAACUCUGUACUUUUAGGGAAAGAGGGAAUAUGAAAUGUAUUGGCUCCUAGCAGGAAGUAGUCCCGACUAAAAAGCCAGGGACACUCUAUCAGAAACUCCAGAAAGUACUUAUAAAAUUUGUCACAGGAAAAACAUCAUUGGAUUCAGAUAUUAACCUUCAUCACUUCUAAUCCAGGAAUCACUUAUAGGAAGCAAAAGCUGAAGAAGAAAUAUAAAAGCUAACUGCCUACAUGUCUAUAUGAGAGGCCAUGUUAUCCUAAAGAAAUACACAUUUGAUUUCUUCAGAAGGACGUUCAAAGUUUGUAAAUCACAUUAGUUAAUAAUGCAACUAUGCCGACAAUUGCAAAUGCUUAUUUAGAAAUAGUCAUUAAAAUGCUUGAAAUUUCAAAAUUGACUUGAUAAAAAUCCCAAAGUUUUCCUCAGAACUUUAAAUGAAUACUAAAAACUAAGAAAUAUUAAAACUUAAGAAUAUAAAAACAUAGCUAAUAGUGAUUGGUCUUCAACAAUGUCUUUAGAGAUCCCUAGUUUCUAUUAUACUAUUUGCCUUGUCUAAAAAAAUACGGCAAGGUUUUGGUUUCCAUGGUGACAUAACUCUUUUCAUACAUAUUUAUCAUUGCAAUGCCAGAAACCCACCCCUUUCUAUCAAAGAAUGCUACUUUAGCACUUAAUAAUUGAAGUUAAAGCUGAUUUAUUUUUUAUGUCAGAGUGUUUUAAACAGAUCCCUCUAUCACUGAAAACUGAGGCAGCAUUACAGUCAUUUUCUCAUAAGCAGUUUAUUUCAUACAUGACUUCUGAAAAAUACUUCUGGUUUUUAAAAACUGGAGAAGACUUUGCUUCCUUUUUUCCUUCAGUCAGCACCACAGGGAUUCCCAGCUAAGCUUUCAAAAUGUUGCAGAACAUACAUUACGUAAAGCACACAACCUUCAAUUUCAUUAAUACAGUGUUCAAAAGGAGAACAUGCAUGUCUUGACUUUGCCAAUAAUCAGGGAGCAAUGAAGUUAUUGCCGCCUAUGAAAUUAAUAUUUUGGAAAGCAAAAUGUUUAACGUUCACUCAUUGACUUUUUAAAGUUGUCUAAUUUUCCCUGCCAUCUAAUGAGAGAUUCUAGUUUUCUUCUACAAAGGUCCUUUUUCAUAAAAAUAAAGCCCAUAAUUGGGUAUAUACACUUCAAUCAUCUUAAAUGGUUCUCCUCAUUUUUCCUAAGCUGUAUGUGGCCUCUAGUGGACAGUGCUGUCAUUUUGAGGUCUUAAGUAUCAGUUUUCAGUAUUAUUUAACUCAUUCUGCAUAUUAAAACUACCAAAAAAGAAAAGAAAUAUAAUUAAGGAGGUUAAUUUUUAUUAACCUAUCUUCACUGAAACGUAUCUGUGGUAAUAUAUUUAAGAAAUGAAUGAAAAUAUGAUGAAUUGAAAGAAGUUCAUCCACAAAUAAGCCCUAUUUAAAAGCACUGUGGCAUACCUUAAAACAAUACAAAAUAAAAUGUAUUGGAACU